rnacentral:rRNA from 1 species
UCGAGGAUCUUCGGCAAUGGGCGCAAGCCUGACCGAGCGACGCCGCGUGUGCGAUGAAGGCCUUCGGGUUGUAAAGCACUGUCGGGAGGGAGAAAGCCCGCAAGGGUUGAUCGACCUCCGGAGGAAGCACGGGCUAAGUUCGUGCCAGCAGCCGCGGUAAGACGAACCGUGCGAACGUUGUUCGGAAUCACUGGGCUUAAAGGGCGCGUAGGCGGGCCGGCAAGUCAGGGGUGAAAGCCCGCGGCUCAACCGCGGAAGUGCCUUUGAUACUGCCGGCCUCGAGGGAGGUAGGGGCGUGCGGAACUUCCGGUGGAGCGGUGAAAUGCGUAGAUAUCGGAAGGAACACCGGUGGCGAAAGCGGCGCGCUGGACCUCUUCUGACGCUGAGGCGCGAAAGCCAGGGGAGCAAACGGGAUUAGAUACCCCCGUAGUCC